rnacentral:rRNA from 1 species
ACGACCCCAUGUCAUGCGGGGCCACCCGCUGAGUUUAAGCAUAUCAAUAAGCGGGAGGAAUCC